rnacentral:rRNA from 1 species
CAUGUCUUAUUGUUUAUAAUAAUAAGUUUGACCUGCCCACUGAUAUUAAUUAAAUGGCCGCAGUAUAUUAACUGUGCAAAGGUAGCAUAAUAAUUUGUCUUUUAAUUGAAGACUGGAAUGAAUGGUUGGACGUAAAAAUUGCUGUCUCUACUUUUUAUAUUGAAUUUUACUUUUAAGUGAAAAGGCUUAAAUUUUAUUAAGGGACGAGAAGACCCCAUCAAGUUUUAUAAAUAUAAAUAUUUAUUUUUUCGUAUAUAAUUUUUUAAUUUAUUUUUCUGGGGUGGAAAAAAUAGUAUAUCUUUUUUAAAAUUGAAUAACUAUUAAGUUUAUUAUUGAAUUUUAAUAUAAAAUAAUGUGAAUAAAUUACUGUGGGGGUAACAGCGUUAUUUCUUUUUAGAGUUCAUAUUAAUAAAGAAGAUUGCGACCUCGAUGUUGGAUUAAUUUUACCUUAUGGUGAAGAAGCUAUAAAGGUGAGUCUGUUCGACUCUUAAUAAAUUACGUGA